AUGAUAUUGGUGGACAACAAAGGUCGAGUUAAGGUCAGGACCAAAGGUCAUAAGGCGUGUUUUAAGUUAUUUUCAGAUCUGGUUCAUAUUCUUGUUCAUUACCUUCUUCCUGAUCCAGUUCAUUUCCUACGAAAUACGGGUGCAAUAGCUACAAAAGAUGAUUCACAAGCAAAACAUGAUGCAAUAUCUGUAAGCUGGAAUCAAAGGACUACAAACACACAAAGUAUAUGUGCACAAAGAUUGUGUUUGGUUAUGGAGGAUAUAAUCAAUUAA